rnacentral:rRNA from 1 species
GGUGGCGGUUUUACUGAACCUGUCCCACCUGAUCCCAUUCCGAACUCAGAAGUGAAAUGGUUUAAGGCCCAUGAUAGUGCUUUUGCGCGAAAGUAGGUCACCGCCACCA